UCCAUAUUGACGGAGCGCAGCAGGUGAAGGACGCCCUGCUUCUCCUCCCCGCGCCACGUCGGCCACGACUCCUUGGUCAGAAUGGCGUACCUGGAGAGGAGAGGCGGAGGGACGCAAUACAGAGAGAGAGAGCGCUGAAGCAGCCAAACCAGAAGCCCAGGUCCCUACCCUACCGACCAAUCAGAGCCAAAACGCCCCAGAGGAUUACGCAGCCAGCCAGAAGACGUAAUUGGAUGGGACCAUAAACUCAAGGCAUCUGAGCAAAGAGGGUAAAGGAAGUCCCUGAACGUGUCGGAACGUCCCGGAAGGUCCCUGUCCCUCACCGGCUCUCCUCCCAGUCCCUGGGCUUCUUGGUCUCGUUGGGCUUGAUGCAGCGGAUGUAGUGUGGGGUGCACUUCAUCAGGGUCCCCACCAGGUCAUUGGCUUGUUUCUGAGAGGGGGAGGAGAAAUAAACUGUCAAUCCUAAAAACCCUGAGUGGAUU